rnacentral:rRNA from 1 species
CAGAGGUCCCGAGCGUUGUUCGGAUUCAUUGGGCGUAAAGGGUGUGUAGGAGGUCUUGUAAGUCGGGCGUGAAAUCUCACCGCUUAACGGUGAAACUGCGUUCGAUACUGCUUGGCUGGAGGAUCGGAGGGGGUAUCGGAAUUCAUGGUGUAGCAGUGAAAUGCGUAGAUAUCAUGAGGAACACCGGUGGCGAAAGCGGAUACCUGGAAGAUUCCUGACUCUGAAACACGAAAGCUAGGGGAGCAAACGGGAUUAGAUACCCGGUAGUCCUAGCCGUAAACGGUGUGCAUUGGGUGUGAGCGGAUUCGACCCCGUUCGUGCCGAAGACAACUCAUUAAAUGCACCGCCUGGGAAGUACGGUCGCAAGAUUA